UACGUAGGGGGCAAGCGUUGUCCGGAAUCAUUGGGCGUAAAGCGCGUGUAGGCGGUUACGUAAGUCUGCUGUGAAAGUCGGAGGCUCAACCUUCGAAAGCCGGUGGAUACUGCGUGACUUGAGUACGGAAGAGGAGAGUGGAAUUCCUGGCGUAGCGGUGAAAUGCGCAGAUAUCAGGAGGACACCAACGGCGAAGGCAGCUCUCUGGGACGUUACUGGACGGCUGAGACGCGAAAGCGUGGGGAGCAAACAGG
rnacentral:rRNA from 1 species